ACGGUAGUCCUUCGGGAUGAGAGUGGCGAACGGGUGAGUAAUAUAUCGGAACAUAUCCGUAAGUGGGGGAUAACGUAGAGAAAUUUACGCUAAUACCGCAUAUUCCCUGAGGGGGAGAGGAGGGAAUUCGCAAGAACCUUUCGCUGACGGAGUGGCCGAUAUCGGAUUAGCUAGUAGGUGAGGUAAAGGCUCACCUAGGCGACGAUCCGUAGCGGGUCUGAGAGGAUGAUCCGCCACACUGGAACUGAGACACGGUCCAGACUCCUACGGGAGGCAGCAGUGGGGAAUUUUGGACAAUGGGCGAAAGCCUGAUCCAGCCAUACCGCGUGAGUGAAGAAGGCCUUCGGGUUGUAAAGCUCUUUCAGCCGGAAAGAAAUCGCACUUUUUAAUACGGAGUGUGGAUGACGGUACCGGAAGAAGAAGCACCGGCUAACUACGUGCCAGCAGCCGCGGUAAUACGUAGGGUGCGAGCGUUAAUCGGAAUUACUGGGCGUAAAGCGUGCGCAGGCGGUUUGAUAAGCCAGAUGUGAAAUCCCCGGGCUUAACCUGGGAACUGCAUUUGGAACUGUCAGACUAGAGUGUAGCAGAGGGGGGUAGAAUUCCACGUGUAGCAGUGAAAUGCGUAGAUAUGUGGAGGAAUACCAAUGGCGAAGGCAGCCCCCUGGGUUAACACUGACGCUCAUGCACGAAAGCGUGGGGAGCAAACAGGAUUAGAUACCCUGGUAGUCCACGCCCUAAACGAUGUCAACUAGUUGUUGGGGGAGGAGACUUCCUUAGUAACG
rnacentral:rRNA from 1 species